rnacentral:lncRNA from 1 species
AGUCCCUUGUUUACUGUAUUUGUAAUUAGCCACCAAGAACUUGAGUAACCGGUUUCCGAGGAGAACAUAUAUCCUGAAUCAGUUCCUGGACAUUUGUUUGAGGUCUUGUAAGGGAAACUGAAGGGAAUUGUGUAUUGAACAGGAUGGCUUAGACCUGCUCAACUUCUGAGAAUUGAGAUUGUGAGACUCCCAGUUCUAGCCAGAUAUCACCACUUCAAAGACAUAACAAAAAGGCAAAGUGGGCAAUCCAGAUGUAUCACUUGACUUUCUGACUACUGGAAGAAUUUCCCUUCAUUAUUGCACACCAGGGGUAUCCCACAGAUGAUGAAGAGCCAAGGAGCCUAUCAGGAAGGCAAUGAAGAGACUGGCAAAGGCAAGAAGGUACUAUCACUGCUAGAGAGAUCCAGGGGGAAGGCUGUGUGACCAGAGUCAAGGAACAGGAACAUCUGGAGAAAGCCUGCCCAAACAAGAGCUGAAGCCGUGUGGAGGAGACGCAGCAGCUACCACUGCAAAUGCUACUCGAGGCAGAGAGACGGAGGAGGUGGAAUGUGGCCUGUUUCCUCCUUGGGCCCUUCGGUUUUCCACAGUGUCUUUCACUGGCCUUCUUGAAAUCCAGGAAACAAGAGAGCUGGAAAAUAUUGGUCUCUGAGUUAUAGCACAGGGCAGAGAAGGGCAGAAAAUGCACCUGAAAGAAAACAGCUUUCUCCUCACCAACUCUUCAAAGAUCCAGUUGAUACAAAAUGCACAUGCUAAAAUAUGAUUCCCCAGUCCUGUCCAAGCUGAUGUGGUCUUCUCCAAGCCCCCAGUCCUGACCAAGCUGAAUCUCCUUUGUCACUCAUGGGGCAACAGGGACUUACCUGCCAGUGCAGGAGAAAGGAGAGAUCCUUUAGAACAGGAGCUAAGAUGCCAGGAGCUCACGCAAAAUGCUUGAAGAAAGGGGCUUAGCCAGAAACCGAACUGGGAGUUGAUGCCCAGUUUAGGAAGAGUUCAAAUCGAGGAGUCAGAAGCAGCAAAUUCUACAUCAGAUCCACAAAUUCUUAACUAGAAGAAUAAAAACAAGUCAAAUCAAGUUGGGCUCAAAAGGAAUAUAGGGGCAGAAGAGGUGAUGUGCAGAUGGGUGUGCCUGGCCAAAUGGUGGGGGUAGGCACAGGCAGCACACACCAUUGAUUUCUUUGCUUCCUUUUUUAAAGAUUUUAUUUUUAAGAGCAGUUUCAGGUUCAAAGCAAAGUUAGAAGUACCAAGAUUUUUUCCAUAUACCCCUGUCCCUACAUAUGCAUAGCCCCCUCAUUAUCAAAAUCCCCUAUCAGAGUGUAAUAAAUGACAAUGAACCUACGUUGGACGCAUCAUAAUCACGUAAAGUCCUGGUGUACAUUAGCUUUCACUCUUGGUGUUGUACAUUCUAUGAAUUCGGACAAAUGUGUAAUGGCAUGUGUCCACUGUUAUGGUAUCAUACAGAGCACUUUCACUGCCACAAAAAUUUUCUGCUCUCUGCCUAUAGUUGGGGAUCAGAAACCAAUACCCCAAAAUAUGGCAUUUUGACAUGCUGAACUGAAGAAGCUUUAAUGUCUCUCUGACCUUCCUUCUUCUGCCCCACCUUCUUUCCCAAAACCUAGGAUUAUCUUGUUCCCUUAUCUGCUUAAAGUCCGAACCUGCCAAAGAAGAAAACAAUGACCUCUGCACCCUUCCCUGAGUUUCCAUUAACUGAACCUAGAUUCCAGGAAGAAAGAUUGAAGUCUGUCAACACACCUGGACAGACUUUUAUCACAAACCAUUGUCCACUCUGCUAACCCAACAGAUUUUGUCCCAGACAACUGUAUUCUCUUCAAGCCCAUUGAAUUCUCCCUAGGAAUCAUGCAUUGCCCCUCAACAGAAUUCCUCUUGUCCCUACUCACAUAGUUUGCUUUGCCGGGAUCCUAAGAUUUCUUGGAAAACCUUAGGACCAGGAGGUAUUCUUGUGGACUCAUUCUGUUUUUCUGUAACCUCAAGAUGGUGUAUAAGCUUCUGCCCCCUAAUCGGGGGUUGGAGUAAUCACUGUGUCUCCUGUGUGAAAGUAAACACAUUUGUAUGCCCUUUUCCCAAUUAAUCUACCUUCUGUGAGUUGAUUUUUUAGCGAAACUUCAGAGGGCUCUUUGACUCCUACACUAUUUAUCCCUCCCCCUCCCUUCAGCCCCUAACAACCACUGAUCUUCUUACUGCCUCCACAGUUUUACCUUUUCCAGAAGGUCAUAUAGUUGAAAUAUUACAGUCCGUUACCUUUUCAGAUUAGCUUCUGUCACUUAGUAAUAUAUAUUUAAGAUUCCUCCAUGUCUUUUCAUGGCUUGAUAGUUCAUUUCUUUUCAGUAUUAAAUGAUAUUCCAUUGUUUGAUGUACCACAAUUUAUCCCUUACCUACUGAAGGAAUACCUGGUUGUUUCCAAGAUUUACCUGGCCACCUAUGGAAUACUGUAGUUUCCAAAACUGGCCAUAAGAUAUUUCCUACUAUUCUUGCAUAUUGCAGUUGCAUAAGAAUUGCGUCCUAAGAUUUUCCAGAAAUUUGGCACUUCUCCAUCAAGACAUGGAUUCUACUUCCUCUUCCCUUAAGUCUAGGCAGAUUUGUGACUGGUAACCACAGAGCAUGGUAGAAAUUACACGGAGUGAUUUCUGAGGUUAUAAAUGAUGAAGCUCAUCUACCUCACAGGAACAUAGGCAUUGAGUCCUGAGCCACCAAGCAAGUGUCCAACUACUCUGAAACUGCCAUGUGGUGAGGAAGCCCAAACUUGAUGUGAUUUCACCUCUUCUGCCCCUAUUCCUUUUGUGCCCAACUUGAUUUGACUUGCUUUUAUUUUUCUAGUUAAGUGAAAAGAUAGCAAGGGGAAGCACUGAAGCUGCAUCGUGAGCGAGAGAUGCCCAGCCACCAGGCAGCUGCUCCACCCACCUCACCCUCAGCCUACUUUCCUCCACCCUCAACCUUGUACUUUUGUUGCUCCAACCACUGUCUGGUUACAAUCAGAGGAGAGAUUCCAAGACAGUAGCACCCAGCUAAACCCUUCCUGAAUUCGCAACUCACAAAAGUUAUAAAAGACAAUAAAAUGACUGUUCUUUAAGUUAUAUGUUUUGAAGUGAAUUAUUAUUCAGCAACAAAUAACCCAUAACAUCAUCCUUUUUUCCUCACCUCCACUUCCCAGUUUUGCCUCCAGUCUGAGUACUUAAAGUUAGGCCUACAAAUCCAGUCCUUUCCCUUCAAAGGAAACUUAUUAUAAACUGAGGCAUCCAGAAAAAGGCUGUCAUGAGGUUUUAAUGUCAUUCUCUGCUCUCUUCAUU